GACCGAAUGGCGUAGUGGUUAGUGACCCUGAGUCCCUGACUACUGAGCCGAAGGUCCCGGGUUCGAUUCCCGGCUGGGGCA
rnacentral:tRNA from 1 species